UUGGGUCCUCGCCCGAACGCUGUCCUCUCCUUGCUCGCUCACUCCCACCCUUCUCCCCCCUCCCCCAUGGAGCCAGUGAGCAGAAAGAGAGAGGGGAUCCCGACGAUCGAGAGAGAAGAUUCCGGCUCCGUGAGGUGGCCGGCGACCGCGAUGGCACAAUUCCCCUUCACCCCCACCCCAGCGCCCCACUCCCCCAACACUCCUCACUGUCUUCUCCCCCUUCUCGUCGCCGGAUCUGAAGAAGGGCCGCCGGCGUCGACCUGCCGUUGUCGCCGAGGUUGGCGCGGGUGAGGUCGGGUCUCGUUGUCCCCACAUCGAGUGCGCAGAGCUCCGCCUCGAUUCGGCACCGCGUCGCGGACUAGGAGCCGAUGAGAAGGGGAUGCUUCUGGCAGAGCAGGCCACGGGCGCCGGCGGCGCCAACCCUUGCGACCAGGCGACGGCAAGGGCGCCAAUCCCCUCCAACCAGCCCCCGCAUCCAGCACGGGGUCGGCAGUGGUGGGGGUGGCGCAGCGUGCAUCGACGACGAUGUGGAGAUGCGCGCGGUGGAUUGCUCGAGGGCGUAGAAGCGCACGGCGUGCCUGACAUCUUAACUUCCCCCGCGCACCCGUUCCCAUGGCUGGUGGCAGCGGAGCCGAGGAGGGCCACUGCAGAGAGGAGUUCCACCGACAAAAGGAUGGCGUCGCGUGUGUGAGGCGGGCCGGCGCAGUGGAGGCGGGCUCUCCACUGAUGCUCUCCUCUAGUUCCUGCCAUCGUCCUGCUUCCCUGGGCUCCCCCGUGCUCACCAGCACGUCCCCAAGGUGUCUGCCGCGAGUUUUGCAUCCUCCUCAGCGGCGGCCGCUUCCAGAUGCGGCGGGUACUGAUGCGCCGCCGUCUAGCGUAGCACGCGCCCAAGCUGGAGCGAUUCUUAUGCGUCUCUUUUCUACAGCGAGCUCCACCAUUGCACAUAUGGUACGUUUGCCAUCUCUCCUAUGGCUUUUCUAGUAUGCCUCUACCAUUUUUGCUUGAUGGUUUGUGCAGCUUGUUGAGGAAUAUGAUGAUUUUUGCUCUUCAUUUUUGAAGAGGCAAGUUAGUUUAGGUGGCACAUUUACCCUCAUCCCGAUGGUAUAGUUGCCAUGGCAAAUUUACCUUUGAGCUAACUAGAGUGUUUGUCAUGUGAAAAAAAGUUACAGAUUUGCCAUGGCUAACUAGAGUGUUGGUCACGGAAAAAAAAUAACCGAUUUGCCAUGACAAAAUUUAGAACAAUUUUGCCAUGGAAAAAUGUUUAACAAAUUUGCCACGGAUAAAAAUAGCACAAAGAAAUGAUGGAAAAUAAUUCCAUGGCAAAAACACAUUCAACUUUGCCGUGUUAUUUUUAUCAAAAUGCCAAACCUUUUAGUUUUUAGUUGCCAUGGCAACUCAACUUUUUAGUUUUGCCAUGAUGUGUUGCCACGGAACUAACAAAAGGUUUGUGUUGCCAUGCAAAUAUACGAUGUGUUGCCAUGUUUUUUCUUUGCGACAUGGCAAUUUGAUUUCUAUGAGAGCAUUGCAAAUGUAGUUUAAUAUGUUGCCAUGUUCACGGCGAUUUUUGUGUUGUUUCACAUACACGGCAACUUAAUACCAAAGAAGAUGUCAAGUCUUGGCUAAACGCCAUGGCAAGUUUGAACAUGCUUUUCGCCAUCGCAAUUUUUGAUCAUUUUUUGUAUAAUUUCACAUUCGUGGCAACUUUUUUUACAUAAGCAUGGCAAAUUUGAUAUAAAAAAACCACAAAAAAAUUGAAUAUGCAUUUUGCCAUGGCAUUCGAAUAUACAUUUUUUCCAUGGCAAAUUUGACAAUUUCUUGUGUUAUUUCCAUUACACGGCAAAUUAAUGACACCAAAUAUGGCAAAAUUUGGUAAAAUACCAUGGCAAAUUUGAACAUUGCCAUGGCAAUUUUGAUCUUCUUUUCGUGUUGUUUCACAUACACGGCAAUUUAAUUACACAAAGAUGGCAAGUUUUGGUAAAAUACCAUGGCCAGUUUUGAACAUGCUUGUGCCAUGAUUUUUUUAUUUUUUAUUAUUAUUUCACAAUCAUGGCAAUUUUAGUAAAAUACCAUGGCAAUUUUGAGCAUGCUUUUGCCAUGGCAACUAUUGAUCAUUUUUUGUAUUUUUUUUCACAUUCAUGGUAAUUUUUUUUUAUUAGCAUGGCAAAUUUGAUUACAUAUUUCACGGCAAAUUAGAAUACACUUUUUGCCAUUGCAUUUUUGAUCUUUCUUUUCGUGUUGUUUUAUAUGCACGGCAAUUUAAUUACACAAAGAUGGCAAGUUUUGAUAAAAUACCACGGAACAUGUUUUUGCCUUGGCAAUUUUUGAUAUCUUUUUUUAUUAUUUCACAAUCAUGGCAAAGAAAUCAUAUAUAAGCAUGGCAAUUUUGACAAAAAUCCCACGGUAAAUUUGUAUAUGCAUUUGCCAUGGCAAUUUUAAUCUUUUUUUUGUUGUUUGAUUGGCACGGAAAAACAUACACAAAUUUUUUAAUCCAUUUUUUUCCGCCCAUGAUACAUAUGCAAAUUGCCAUGAACUUUUCCUUUUCAGUUCAUUCUUCUAAUAUAAAAAAGAUCUUUUGACCAUGGCAAAUUUUGCUUGUAGGUACGACGACAUUUUUUCGGUUUGAACCAUUGGGAUUUUUAGUACUAGUUUGUUUGUCACUCUUAUCUGUUACGGCAAAUUCAUCUUUCCGUUUUAUAGGAUGGUAAAUCUGGGCUUUACUAUCACAGCAAAACUGUGUUCUUAUUUGUUUAUCACGCCAUGAAAGUCUAUGCAUCUUUUAGUCUAUGUACUCCCUCCGUCCCGAAAUACUUGUCGGGAAAAUGCAUAAAAAUGGAUGUAUCUAAAACUAAAAUACGUCUAGAUACAUCCAUUCCUCCGACAAGUAUUUUCGGACGGAGGGAGUAUCAUGAUAUAUAGAACAUUUUUCAACAAAGUUGCCAUGGCCCAUGGCAAAUAUAGCCUAUGCAUCAUGGAACUUAUACUGUAGGGAUGAUGAUCUAUUGAACAUUUUAGUUCAUGUCAUUUUUCGAAACAUAUUUUCUUUCUGCCAUGACAAUUUAAUAUGUUUUGGUAAACCCUGCCAUUUUUGUAAAAAAUAACAUGAUGGCAAGUCGUAAAUGUAGUGGCAACUUUUCUGAAAAUUCAAAUGGUUUUUUCUACUUUUAAAGUUGUUGGAUGGCAUCGUAGGCUUUUUUUGUCACCGAAAAAAAUCUGGACUUCUUUUUCUUUAGUAAGAUUGUAAGGCCCAAUAUAGAGAAGGCCUGUAGGGCCGAUACGAUGGACGUUCGGGGUGGUGGCAGCCAUCGCACUACAUGAAAUCGUGCGGGCGGGGGGAGCGAUCGUCCCGAGCGAUUUGUUCGGUCCAGCUGCCUUCCUGCCACACGUGUGGGCAGUUUCAGUGUUCGUCCACACAACGUCGUGUGGGUUGCAUGCGUGUAUGCCACAGCGCCGUGUGGUCGGGUGGUCAUUGUGCCACACGUGUGGCACUUAUCGGCGUCCUUCUUUUUUUAGGGGACAACAUGAAUAAUGGUAGUACUAUUGUUGAUAGCUUAUCCGGAGAGAGGGGUCCCCAUCCAAGUUAUGGGAGACAUGGAUCAAACAACGCAGAUGAACACAAAGUAUAAAAAAUGUCACAUCGCAGGCCGAUCAAAAUAAACAGGGGGCUACUCCUUUAUCCCCGUUUCCUGUGAGCCGGAUCAUUUUAAUUCACUUGAAAAAUAGUUAUUCCCAAGUUGAUCGAGCUUUGUAUACAAGUUCCAAAUUGUGUAACCACCUUCUUUCUUUUUUGUACUAUGAAACUAAGAACACGCUCGACAGCGAAAUAAACACUCGGUUUAAAAUAACCUCCUCUGAACUAUAGGAGAUCUUCUAUAUCUGAAUAGCUAGCCCUCACUAAUCUACUUCUUUCAACACGCAAGCAUGUCAUCUCAUUAUUCAACAUGUAUGGGAAAAUGCUCACCUGAACAUGCACCCAUGCAUAAGUAAAAGCUACCUCAACAUGCAAAUAUGCAUGAGAAUUUUAAUUUUAUUUAUAUUUAAUAAAUAUCCAUACAACCAAAUCUCAUUACACAAUAUCAUUUGUAUUUUCAGUUUUAGUUAUCAUAUUAUUCCAAAAAUCUUCAUGUCCCAUACAACCAAAUCUCAUUAGAAUAUAUUGCAAAAUAUUCCGGCGACAACGUAUGUGGUUUCAUCUAAUUAAUUAUUCCUCCUGAGACUGACCCGUCUCUGUGAUUCGUGUGAAGCUCCGCCAUUGAUAGGUCCUCUCACGUUUUUCUUCGUCGUCGUGAAAAAUAAACAUUUCUGUAGCUGCCCCGUCGUGUGUCAUGGACUCGAAAGUCGUAUAUGCAAGCAACUCCCCAGCUGCAACUCUACAAGGCAAAACGACAUUUAUCCAAGGAACCGAGAAAGCUACCUAGACGGCCUGAGCAACGCAGUUGCUUGCUCUGUGGAAUAAGCAGCCAUGCUGAUACUGGAGCUGGGGGCUUGCAUCAUCCCAAUGACGCUCAUCUUCGUGCCGGCCCGGCGGCUGGUCCUCCUGGUGGCCAAGCUGCAGGAGCUGGAGGAAUGCUUCCGGCGCCCGAGGCCGAUGUCCCCGGGGAUGCCGCAGAUGUCCGCGGAGAUGUACGGCCGCAUGUCGAGCCUGCACACCAUGGCCAUCAUGGUGUGAAGGUUAGGCCCGGCCGCCUUCGUGCGCGCGCUCUCCGGCCGGGUCGAUGGCGAUUCCUGCGCUGGAGGCGCGCCAAGGUGGGGACAGGCUUCUUCGCCUUCGUGAGGCUGAUUCUCAAAUCUCUGCGAGGAUGAGCGAAACGGAGCUCCCGGUAAUUGUAUCUAGAUCGUGUAUGACCCUGUGAAUACCUCUUCUCCUUCUUUAUGUUGUCAGAUUGUUUCUUCAGAAAUCUUGCUGUAACAAAAUGGACUUACGAACCACAGUGGUUCAGGCUU